GACGGUUUGGACGUUAAGAACAAUUCAUAUAUUUUAUUAUAUGAAUCCUUCUUAACGUCCAAACCGUUCC